GUGGGGAAUAUUGGACAAUGGGCGAAAGCCUGAUCCAGCCAUGCCGCGUGAGUGAUGAAGGCCUUAGGGUUGUAAAGCUCUUUCAGUAGGGAAGAUAAUGACGGUACCUACAGAAGAAGCCCCGGCUAACUUCGUGCCAGCAGCCGCGGUAAUACGAAGGGGGCUAGCGUUGUUCGGACUUACUGGGCGUAAAGCGCACGUAGGCUGAUAUUUAAGUCAGGGGUGAAAUCCCGGGGCUCAACCCCGGAACUGCCUUUGAUACUGGGUAUCUUGAGUAUGGAAGAGGUCAGUGGAAUUGCGAGUGUAGAGGUGAAAUUCGUAGAUAUUCGCAGGAACACCAGUGGCGAAGGCGGCUGACUGGUCCAUUACUGACGCUGAGGUGCGAAAGCGUGGGGAGCAAACAGGAUUAGAUACCCCUGUAGUCC
rnacentral:rRNA from 1 species